CACGGGCACCGGAAGUCAGGGCACCGGAAGUCACGGGCACCGGAAGUCACGGGCACCGUGGGCACUGACGGUGGGGUGGGGCUGAGGGCUAAGAGCAGAGCCCUAGACACAAUGUGUCGGGAACUUCUCUGCUACUGUGACUAAGCACCACAGUUUACAGAAGGAGGGGCUUCUUUGGGCUUAGGGUUCCGGAGGACUAGAGUCCAUCAUGGCAGGACAGCGGGCAGCAGGCAAGCAAGUCUGGGCAGAAGCUGAGGGCUCACAUCUUGAACCACAAUCACGAAGCAGAGAGAGCAGACUGGGACUAGGGCAAGGAUUUAAGCUUUCAAAGUCUGCACCACUGACAUACUUCCUACAGCAAGGCCACACCUCCUAAGCAUCCCCAGAGUCACAACUGGGGAUCAAGUGUUCAGGUUCAUAUGCGUGAGUUUAUGGGGGGAUAUUUUCAUUUAAACCUCCAUAUACAUCAGUUAAUCAAGAGGCAGAGCAGAAAGAGAUACCUGAGUGACGCCUUAGUGUCCCACAGCUGUGACCAACUAAAUAGAACCCGGGUUCUGGUCCCAGCAUCCACUGUACACAGCUCACAACCACCUGUAACUCCAGCAUCCAGGAGAUCUGCUGUCUCUGCACUCUGAGGCAGGAUGUCACAUCUCUGGGAAUCUCUGCAAAGAGUCGGUGCUUCUCAUAACGUGCAUAAGCAUCCAGGUUGAGUCAGACGUCCCAGCGGAUGAGGAACUUGCCACACAGCCGGACAACAUGAGUUUUCUCCCCAGGACCUGUGCUGUGGAAGAAGGGAACCCACCCCCGCCAGCUGUCCUCUGACCUCCGCACGCACACCAUCUCACACAUGUGUCACUCACACACACUAAAUAAAUAAAUGUAAACGAUAAAAAUAAAUUGCAUAGACAUUCCCAACAUGCCGGCUAGAGGCUUCUCCCAGACUCAAGAUUCAGGAACGACCCCAGCCCCGGUUUACAGACAAGCAGCUUGAGACUCAAAACUUUCCCAGGCGCCCGAGCUGUCCCUGAGCCCUCGGCAGUGGCAGGCCUACGGAGGAGGACAGGGCGGUCAACCGCGCGCCAAUCGGCAGCGGGGUGAGCGGGAGCAGGGGGAUGCCCGGGAGUGCCGGGGAGGCCCCGCCCCCAGGGCCCGGCCGGGGUCUGCAGCCGUCAGCGACGAGCGCGGCCCCGCCGAGGGAUCGAUAACUAAUUUCAGCGCCGCAGCCGCCCGGGUUUUUUCCCGAUAAUUGCGCGCCGGCAGCUGCGAGCCAGGCCCCCAGCCCGCCGCGCGCCCCCGCCCGCGCGCGAUCAAUUGACACCGCCACCGGGCGCCGGGAAAACUCAUUUUUCUCUCCCUCCCCGGCUCCCGGUGGGCGCGGGCUAAGCUCGAGGUGGCCGGGUUGGGGGUGGCCGUGAGGCCUGGGCAGGGGCGUUCGGCUGACCUUCUGCUUCUCCAGAGGGAGCUAAAGAUGCACCUGCCACCCCAGACUGGAGAGAGGCGGGACAAGAGGAAGGACCCAGAAGGCAGUGGGUUCAGAUCUAGACUCCACAGCCUACUACUGAGAGCCUCGGUUUCCCCCUCUUCCUGUAGUAGGGUCCUGGCACGAGGUUAGACCUGUGAGGUGGCUCCCAGGAACAGCACAUUGCGUGGUGUUGUUUAGAGCAGAGAGUGUUUUGUCGGUUGCCAGCCUGGCUUAGAGCAACUACCAUGUGCCUGGCCUGGUCUAGGCGUUUCUAAACAAGGAAGUCAAGAAUCUCCGCCUCCCUGCAACUGGCUUCUAACGGUAGGAUGAGCCAUAAAGCAAGGAAAGAGAGAGAUAGCAAGGGCCAAGGAGUCCAAAACAAGCCGAGGUAAACAGGGUAGACUGGGGGACAUCGCAGUGUAAUCCCGACACCCAGCCGGGACCAACCUGCAGGGCUCAGCUCUGAGGCCCCUCCCCGGGCUCUCCCAGCCAAGCUCAAAGCUGCUGCCUGUUCAAGGUCGCAGGAAAGCUGCAGACUUGGCAUUCUCUGCGGAGGGAGGGUGGAGGAGGGAGAAGCCGGCCGUGGGUGGGAGUCUCCCUAUGGGAGAGUCCGUGAGAUGGAGAGAGAAAGCAAAGGCGCUGGAGAGCAGGGUGGGGGUGGGUGCCCACCGACAGAAAAGCAGACAGAUGCUGUUUGUAGCCAAGGACUCCUGGAUCCUGGGGGCUGAGCUCCAGAGAGAGGUUGGGGACCACCCCCAAGGUCACAGAAGACCGAGUUGGGCUCCUGUGUCCUGCGCCCCAAGCCUGGAAGAGAACAAGAGAGGCUGAGGAGAAGGAGAAAGAUGAAGAGUCUUGUGUGGGGAGGAUGGGGCCUUUUCAUUGGGCAGAGGCCACAGGGCUUCCCGGGAGCCACGUGGAGGAUUCAGGAUGACUGACAGGGCCUCCGGGAAUCAGAUGUGCUGACUGGCCCCACCCCACCCCCAGUUUCCAGAAACCCAGCAAAAGAGGCUUAAGACUCCCUCUGUGGCGGUGAGGGAGCCAGGCAGGGGUAGAGGACCUCUGCUGCGGGGGGAGUGGUGAGAUCAGGACCCUGCCCGCCUGCCUCGGUUUCCUCAUCUCAGACGGGGGCUGAUGGUAAGGCCCCAAGGGUCCCGAUGCUUUCCUUCCUUUUGUGUUUCUGUCUCUGGGACAAGCCCAGUGCAGUGACUCAGCCAACAGGGGGAAGGAGACUGCUGGCAGCCAGGGUGCUGGCUGUGCUUGGGACUCAGGACAAUACAGAGCUGGGUGUCACCCCCCUGCUGGUCCCUUUGCCCACACAUCCAUCCACACAUCCAUCCACUCAUCCAGCCAGCCCUUCUCCUACCUAAAUGUUUACCAGGCUAUUUGACAAGGACUGGGUAAGUAUCUGCUAUGGGGAGGCACCAUGUGUGGUCAACACCAGGCUUCCCCAUCCCCCCCCCCACCCUGUUCCCACAGAUCUACCUUUCUUAUCCUUUGAAGCAUGAUCAGGAACACCAGACUGAGAGUCGUGUGACCUAGCCAGGCCCAGUGAACUCUCUGUGUCUUGGUUAGUGAAGGAACCAAGAGUGGAGCGCUUGUCCUGUCUGGCAGAGCUUGGCUCUGGAUGAACAGUAUGCCCAGGUGAAGGCCUUCCACCUAGGAUUCUGCAUAGCCCCUCAGUCUGCCAGAAUGACAAGAGGGAAUCAAGACCAAGGGCAGCUCAGAGUCUCACAGCUAGGGGGCCAGAAGGAGUAAGCUCGGGUCUGUCUGACCCCAGAGCCUGCCCCUUACCGGGGACCGUGGCAUCCCAGACAGAAACUGGCCACGGGGAAUAGCUCAGGGUCUCGGAGCUGUUUGUCCUUCCCCUCAAUGGUAGCUCUGGCUGCCAUCCACCUCCAAAAGGCCUCUGUGGGUCAAAGCGGCAGCUGCUCUGCGUAACCAUCUGGUGACUUUGGCCUCUUGGACAUGCCCAGGACCAGUGCAGCAGGCAAGCAUCACUUUGGAGAGUCAGGAGGCCUGCAGUCAAAGCGAGACAGGAGGACCAGCCACCUCCGCUGUCCUGUGCUGUGCCCUUGGGGGGGUCCCAGCACCCCAGGUGUAAAACGGGCAUGGUGGCUGAUUGAAAGGAGUCCACUAUGCUAAGACCAAGGGAUAUAUUCAUUUGAUGGCUAGGGAGGGUUAUAGCAGGAUAUGGUCACAGUGCCUAUUGGUCUUCCCUAGAGCAAUAGCUUAAAUAAAGAUACUGGAGCUAGCAACUAGGGGCAGCAUCCUGAGCCAGAGCUAACCACAGUGAUGGUUUUGUGUCCCCAGGCACUGGACACACGGUCUAAGGACCCUGCCAUGGGUGGGUUUGUGUUUCUCCUCACAUAGCUCUAGUCUGCCAGGCAGAAAUCCUGGUUAUCUGGGACAGGAGGGAAAGGAAAGGGGAGACUUUUUCCUCCUGGCACAGCUCGGGACUCAUUGAACUAAAAGCCAUGGCUCCACCUGAUGACAAUGGGGUCUUUGAACCAGGGCCAGCAGGCAAAGACAGGAGUUGCCAUUCUGUAUGGGAAUCACCUGUGACGGUUUCCGUACAUUUUUGUAGAAAAAAUCUUUGCAGGAUCCUCAGGCUGUCAGGGCCUUUUCAAAGGGGGCUCUUGGGAGCCGGGCCAAGUUAUGGUUGCUAAAGCGGAUCUGCAGUCCUUGGCUUGGUGGCAUAGCCCAGCUCAACUGUGGAACCAGCCCCUGUGGCUCAGGCACGAUGCCCACAUCUCGCCUCCUUCUCUGAUGCCACCAGGUAGAGGCACCGUCUCCACAGAAACCUCACAAACACACAGAGGUGGGCGGAGGAGGGGACCCGAGAGCAAGGUACUGCCAGGCGUGAGUUUGACGCGUUGCCAUGAUGAAAUGCGUGGCACACAGCUCAAGGAAGGGAAGAUCUGAUGUAUCUCACAGUUGGGAGCUACAGCCCAUCAUGGUGGGGACAUCAUGAGAGCAGAACCUUGAGUUACCUGGUGUCACAUUGCGUCUGUAAUCAAGCAGCAGAGGGAUGGGCGGGCGCUUACUCUUUAGCUGUCUCCUUUCCAUUGAGUCCAGCAGACAGCUAACCUAAUCCAGACGGUCCCUUACAGGCAUGUCCGGAGGACCGGCUCCUUGCUGAUCUAACCCUAUCAAUAUUGCAUCUAGAAUCAAUAGCAACCAUUGCAGAGGCCUUUGAACAGACCAUUCUGGUGGCUCCAAGGGCUGCCCCACCCACGCUUCAGCCACGGAGACUCAACGGUGUGCACAUUAAUUCUCUCCCCUGCUGCCUAUUACUUGCCCGCCACCCUUUACCCUUACCCCUAGGGGCACCCCCCAAAAAAAAAACAGCCUUUCUUUAAAGCCUCCUUCGAGAGAACCUAGACCAAGACUUAGGGCAAAUGACCUCAAAUCGACAGGUGGGAGUCCUAACCCCCAGUACUUGGACUGUGACUUCAGUGAGGCUGAAAAGGAGGUAGGGACAGAAAGAUCACAGUCCAAGGUCAUCCUCAGCUACUUAGUGAGUUUGAGGCCAGCCUGGACUACAUGAGAUCCUGUCUC